rnacentral:ncRNA from 1 species
ACGAACCUCUGGAGAGAUUCCGUAGCAAAGGAACACCGAAGGAGCAAAGUUUACUAAAUUUUAGUAAACCUAAACUCUCAGGUAAAAGGACAGAGAAA